UACAGAGGGUGCAAGCGUUUGUUCGGAAUUAUUGGGCGUAAAGCGCGUGUAGGCGGCUUUGCAAGUCGGGUGUGAAAGCCCUCAGCUCAACUGAGGAAGUGCGCCCGAAACUGCAGAGCUUGAGUGCCGGAGAGGGUGGCGGAAUUCCCCCAAGUAGAGGUGAAAUUCGUAGAUAUGGGGGAGGAACACCGGUGGGCGAAGGCGGCCACCUGGACGGGUAACUGACGCUGAGACGCGAAAGCGUGGGGAGCAAACAGG
rnacentral:rRNA from 1 species